rnacentral:pre_miRNA from 12 species
UCUUCAAGAUGCUCCUCUUCUUCUGGAAGCUGGUUUCACAUGGUGGCUUAGAUUUUUCCAUCUCUGUAUCUAGCACCAUUUGAAAUCAGUGUUUUAGGAGUAAGAAUUGCGGCAAGGGAAGG